rnacentral:rRNA from 1 species
UGUGGUGGGGGGGAUGGCCUACCAAGGCGACGACGGGUAGCCGGCCUGAGAGGGCGACCGGCCACACUGGGACUGAGACACGGCCCCAGACUCCUACGGGAGGCAGCAGUGGGGGAAUAUUGCACAAUGGGCGGAAGCUGAUGCAGCGACGCCGCGUGAGGGAUGACGGCCUUUCGGGUUGUAAACCUCUUUCAGCAGGGACGAAGCGCAAGUGACGGUACCUGCAGAAGAAGCGCCGGCCAACUACGUGCCAGCAGCCGCGGUAAGACGUAGGGCGCGAGCGUUGUCCGGAUUUAUUGGGCGUAAAGAGCUCGUAGGCGGCUUGUCGCGUCGACUGUGAAAACCCACGGCUCAACUGUGGGCUUGCAGUCGAUACGGGCAGGCUAGAGUUCGGUAGGGGAGACUGGAAUUCCUGGUGUAGCGGUGAAAUGCGCAGAUAUCAGGAGGAACACCGGUGGCGAAGGCGGGUCUCUGGGCCGAUACUGACGCUGAGGAGCGAAAGCGUGGGGAGCGAACAGGAUUAGAUACCCUGGUAGUCCACGCUGUAAACGUUGGGCGCUAGGUGUGGGGGGCCUUCCGGU